rnacentral:rRNA from 1 species
GCAGCCGCCCGGGAAUACCAGCACCUCGAGUGGUCAGGAGGUUUAUUGGGCCUAAAGCAUCCGUAGCCGGUUGCAUAAGUUUUCGGUUAAAUCUAUGCGCUUAACGUAUAGGCCGCCGAAAAUACUGUGCAGCUAGGGAGUGGGAGAGGUACACGGUACUCGAUAGGAAGGGGUAAAAUCCUUUGAUCUAUUGAUGACCACCUGUGGCGAAGGCGGUGUACCAGAACACGUUCGACGGUGAGGGAUGAAAGCUGGGGGAGCAAACCGGAUUAGAUACCCCUGUAGUCCCUGUCUCUUAUACA